rnacentral:rRNA from 1 species
ACUCCUACGGGAGGCAGCAGUGGGGAAUAUUGCACAAUGGGCGCAAGCCUGAUGCAGCAACGCCGUGUGAGUGAAGAAGGUUUUCGGAUCGUAAACUCUGUCCUAAGGGAAGAAAAAAUGACGGUACCUUAGGAGGAAGCCCGGCUAACUACGUGCCAGCAGCCGCGGUAAUACGUAGGGGGCAAGCGUUAUCCGGAAUCACUGGGCGUAAAGGUGCGUAGGCGGCUUAGCAAGCCAGGGUGAAAGGCAUUGGCUCAACCAAUGUAAGCCUUUGGAACUGUUAAGCUUGAGUGCAGGAGAGGUAAGUGGAAUUCCUAGUGUAGAGGUGAAAUUCGUAGAUAUUAGGAGGAACACCAGUGGCGAAGGCGACUUACUGGACUGUAACUGACGCUGAUGCACGAAAGCGUGGGUAGCGAACAGGAUUAGAUACCCUGGUAGGUCAGUC